rnacentral:lncRNA from 12 species
CCCCCCCCCCCCCCCCCCCCCCCCCCCCCCCCCCCCCCCCCCCCCCCCCCCCCCCCCCCCCCCCCCCCAGGGAGCCCUGGGAGCCGCCGGACGGAGGAAGGAGGUGAUGUGGGGGCUGGCAGGGGGGACACGGAGUCUGCGACGGCAUCAGCCCUUGAGCAGCACAUUCCUCGUCCUCGGAGCCCCCCCUUUGCCGCGCAGGGUGGGGGUGCCAGCCCCUCUCGGCCCGGGUGGUGACAGGGACGGGCUCCGUGUCUCUGUCCCUGCAGGAGGGCGAGCAGAGGCAGCAGCCGGAGAAGGGCCCGGCUCCAGGAGCCCCGAGGGAGCCCCCGGCCCGGCCUUAAUGAUCCCAAUAUUCCGAGUUUUCUCCCUGGACGCUGGGGUCCCAGGUAUGAGCAGAACAAAGCUUCUGCAAACUCAUCCUUGAAAAGCACCACGAGGUUGUGACAGAUCUUGAAGCUGCCGAGUGCCCUUGACAAACGGGAUCUGCCCACAGAGCCAGGCUGGGCUUGCUGACCCUGGGAUGGAAAGGUUUAAUGGAAAAAACCCGGGGAAUUGUUCUGUUUGGAUGCUUUAAUUUAAUUUGGAAAAGGAGAAACCCAUUCCUCCAUCUCUGCACGUCUUGGGGAAUGCUGGUUUUAAUUUGCAGCAGAAUAUCCAAGGGAAGUUUCUCCACGUGAAAAGGAGAAAACGGGAGUUUGCAGGAUUUUAUUGCUGCGCCUCGUUCCAGGGGGAGGGAGGGGAUGAGGAUUGAAAUAUCUGUGUGCUUUCUUUCCAGUGAAAAUAAAAGUGGGUUUUAUUAUGUUUCUCUGCAGUGUGGGAUCAGGGAAAAUCUGGAAUCCCUCAGGAUGCUUGGCCAGUCCUUGGCUGAAGUUCAGGAUUUAUUAUUUUCCUUUUAAGCUCCACAACCAGAACAGAGCCGCAAACACAUUUUUAUACAGAGCUUUUAAUUAAACCCCAAAUGUUUGCAAGGCUCCAGGAAUGUCUGUGCCAAGCUCAGGGCUCCUGGGCCCGUGGGUGACACCAAGGGACACCAGACUUCAUCCCAGCCUGUCCCAGCCCCAGGAGUUCCCUUGUGGUGUCACAGAGCCAGGGACAGCUGGGGGCACCUCUGGGCCACAGCCUGGGCUGCUGGGGCAGGGACCCAGAGCUGGGGUCCCAGACAGGGCAGGAUCCAGGUGCUGGGGUGCAGGGUCCCAGUGUAGGGGUGCAGAGUCUCAGAUAGUGCUGGGACCCCAAAUUGGGGUGCAGAGAACCAGUUUUGGGCUGUAGGGUCCCAGUUUUGGGCUGUAGGGUCCCAGUGUAGGGGUGCAGGGUCCCAGGUAGGGUUGAGUGCCCGGUUUUUGGGUGCAGGCUCCUGGUGCCCUGUGCAGGGUCCCGGAUCCUUUGGAGUCUUCCCACUGCCACAAGAACCUGAAAUGAUUCGCCAGGGAGAAAAAAAAAAUAAAAAAAUAAAAAGAAUAAAAAGGAUGUGGUUGAAUG